rnacentral:lncRNA from 1 species
AUUGUUAUUACAAGAUUUGAUAUAUUCUCAAACAAAUCUAAUGUGUUUCUAAUGUUAUGAAGAGUAUGUCAGUCAUGCAAUAUAUAUAGGACCUCAAUACAGUGCUUUAAAUGAAAUAGGAAUCAACAAUCACAUCAAAAUCAUGAAAAUGAUCAACAGAUGGAUAUCAAUGCUGCUUGAGAGCCCAGCUCGAGGAAAGCGAGCGGAGCAAGCAACGCUUGAGCACUGCGUCCAUAGCCCUUGGAAACUACAUCUUGGGCUAAAAUUCCUCCAAAGGCUUCCGAUGGGCAAAGCACUUGGGCGUCUUGUCUCUGUCCAAACUCCAUUUUUUAUUUCUUCAAGGACUCUCAAACCAAAACGAGCAAAGGGUAAUGCAACUUUGACUCCUAAUUUCUGAGUUUGCUAUCUACCUUCAAGUAUUUCCCUCAUUUACAUAUACAUUCUUGUGGCUUGCGAUUUUAGCUCGUCUUAUAAUUUCUUCCCGUCUACUGACUUGACCAUCGAAGUGCUCACGGCCGCCUUCCCAACCAUCGAAGAAGGUCACAAGUGACUAACGGUUUGUCCAAGUAUAUAGAAAAGGAGCUUACGUGUGUGCAAG